UUAUCUUUUCCGUGGAAGAAACUUCCUGCUGGGUAUGGUGAGUGGAUUAAGACGUUUGGUUAUCCAGAGAAGAAUGCAGUCAUCAGGACCCUCGAUGGGAGGACCUUUCAAGUCAAAGUGUUCAACCUUGCAGGCGACUACUUUUUUUACAAUGGCUGGUUUGAUGUCGUCACGUCAUUGAAAUUACCGGACGAUUCGUAGGUUGUUUGUCAGUAUGAAGAAGCUUUAUCUUCGUUCCGGCUGUUCCACUUUUAUCAAGACAUUUUUCUUGCGCCAUCUAACUACUUCUACUACAAACCUAAAAAUUAUUUUAAAGACCGAGACGACUGCAUGUAUGUGAACAGGUUGUUUGUUCAUCACUCGAUGCUGAAUACCUGUCCUUCAGAUCCUGUUUUGGUUCGUUCUGCUGGAAAUCGUAAAUGGGUUGUUCGGAUGGAAGUUUUAGACCAU
rnacentral:lncRNA from 1 species